rnacentral:rRNA from 1 species
CCUACGGGAGGCAGCAGUGGGGAAUAUUGCACAAUGGGGGAAACCCUGAUGCAGCGACGCCGCGUGAGUGAAGAAGUAUUUCGGUACGUAAAGCUCUGUCAGCAGGGAAGAAAAUGACGGUAACUAACGAAGAAGCUCCGGCUAACUACGUGCCAGCAGCCGCGGUAAUACGUAGGGGGCAAGCGUUGUCCGGAUUUACUGGGUGUAAAGGGUGCGUAGGCGGGCGUGCAAGUCUGGAGUGAAAGCCACGGGCUUAACCCCGGGACUGCUUUUGAAACUGGGCGGCUGGAGUGCAGUAGAGGUAAGCGGAAUUCCUGGUGUAGCGGUGAAAUGCGUAGAUAUUAGGAGGAACACCAGUGGCGAAGGCGGCUUACUGGACUGUAACUGACGUUGAGGCUCGAAAGCGUGGGGAGCAAACAGGAUUAGAUACCCCAGUAGUC